rnacentral:rRNA from 1 species
GAUGAACGCUGGCGGCGUGCUUAACACAUGCAAGUCGAACGGUGAAGCCAAGCUUGCUUGGUGGAUCAGUGGCGAACGGGUGAGUAACACGUGAGCAACCUGCCCUGGACUCUGGGAUAAGCGCUGGAAACGGCGUCUAAUACUGGAUAUGAGCUCUCAUCGCAUGGUGGGGGUUGGAAAGAUUUUUUGGUCUGGGAUGGGCUCGCGGCCUUUCAGCUUGUUGGUGAGGUAAUGGCUCACCAAGGCGUCGACGGGUAGCCGGCCUGAGAGGGGAACCGGCCACACUGGGACUGAGACACGGCCCAGACUCCUACGGGGGGCAGCAGUGGGGAAUAUUGCACAAUGGGCGGAAGCCUGAUGCAGCAACGCCGCGUGAGGGAUGACGGCCUUCGGGUUGUAAACCUCUUUUAGCAGGGAAGAAGCGAGAGUGACGGUACCUGCAGAAAAAGCGCCGGCUAACUACGUGCCAGCCGCCGCGGUAAAAC